GUAUGGGGAUCUGCCCGAUAGAGGGGGAGUAAUACUGGAAACGGUGGCUAAUACCGCAUAAUGUCUACGGACCAAAGCAGGGGCUCUUCGGACCUUGCACUAUCGGAUGAACCCAUAUGGGAUUAGCUAGUAGGUGGGGUAAAGGCUCACCUAGGCGACGAUCUCUAGCUGGUCUGAGAGGAUGAUCAGCCACACUGGGACUGAGACACGGCCCAG
rnacentral:rRNA from 1 species